rnacentral:rRNA from 1 species
CCUACGGGUGGCUGCAGUGGGGAAUAUUGCACAAUGGGCGCAAGCCUGAUGCAGCCAUGCCGCGUGUGUGAAGAAGGCCUUCGGGUUGUAAAGCACUUUCAGCGGGGAGGAAGGCGGUGAGGUUAAUAACCUCAUCGAUUGACGUUACCCGCAGAAGAAGCACCGGCUAACUCCGUGCCAGCAGCCGCGGUAAUACGGAGGGUGCAAGCGUUAAUCGGAAUUUCUGGGCGUAAAGCGCACGCAGGCGGUCUGUCAAGUCGGAUGUGAAAUCCCCGGGCUCAACCUGGGAACUGCAUUCGAAACUGGCAGGCUAGAGUCUUGUAGAGGGGGGUAGAAUUGCAGGUGUAGCGGUGAAAUGCGUAGAGAUCUGGAGGAAUACCGGUGGCGAAGGCGGCCCCCUGGACAAAGACUGACGCUCAGGUGCGAAAGCGUGGGGAGCAAACAGGAUUAGAUACCCUUGUAGUC